UACGUAGGGGGCAAGCGUUGUCCGGAAUCAUUGGGCGUAAAGCGCGUGUAGGCGGCUAGAUAAGUCUGCUCUGAAAGCCCGGGGCUCAACCCCGGGAGGCGGGUGGAUACUGUCUAGCUCGAGUCCGGAAGAGGAGUGUGGAAUUCCUGGUGUAGCGGUGAAAUGCGCAGAUAUCAGGAGGAACACCAAUGGCGAAGGCAGCACUCUGGGACGUGACUGACGCUGAGACGCGAAAGCGUGGGGAGCAAAGCAGG
rnacentral:rRNA from 1 species